rnacentral:rRNA from 1 species
UACGGGGGGGGUAAGCGUUGUUCGGAAUUACUGGGCGUAAAGGGCUCGUAGGCGGCCAACUAAGUCAGACGUGAAAUUCCUCAGCUUAACUGGGGAACUGCGUCUGAUACUGGAUGGCUUGGAUCCGGAAGAGGGAUGCGGAAUUCCAGGUGUAGCGGUGAAAUGCGUAGAUAUCUGGAGGAACACCGGUGGCGAAGGCGGCAUCCUGGGCCGGUAUUGACGCUGAGGAGCGAAAGCCAGGGGAGCAAACGGG